GAGAGCCGGAUGAGGGGAGACCCUCACGUCCGGUUCCGAGGGCGGGGAUAUCCCGACUCGGU
rnacentral:ncRNA from 1 species